CACACACAUGCACCGGCUCAUGCAAGCACCCUACAGUGUAGAGGUGGACUAAGCUACAAGUAGGCGGAGCUUCCCACUACAAAGCCAAGUGAAGGUGCUUAGGGGCCGCCACUGCCAGAUCUAUAUCAUGAAGCUGAUGGGUUACAGCAACAAAGUUAGCCCCAAAUUCAAAGUAUGAUGCAUAUCAGCAUUUAAAGGGACUUGCCAUUAAGGUGUCUCGAUACUGCUAAGGAGUCAAGAACCAUGCAGACACAAAUGAGAGUCUUGCUGGGCCUCCUGUGGCUACAGACUUGCUGGGUAAGAGUCCAGAUGAAUGUGGAGCAGAGUCCUGGGGUCCUGAACCUCCAAGAGGGGAGAAAUACCUUUAUGAUGUGCAAUUAUUCUAGCAUCAUAACCAGUGUGCAGUGGUUCCAACAAAAUCCUGAAGGACACCUCGUAUCCUUGUCGUACAUCACUUCUGGAAUGCAGCGAAAAGGAAGACUAAUAUUCACGCUCAACUUCCAGGAACGUAAUAGCCACCUGCAUAUCACAGACUCACAGCCUGGGGACUCAGGCACUUAUUUCUGCACUGUGGAGGCACAGUGUUCUGCAGACACCUGUGGCCUGUACAUGAAGCCAUAGCUGGAGACUAACCCAACCCACAGAGCGGGGGGCAGGGGCCCAAUAUGAUCAGAAUUGUGUGUCCAUUGCCUUGUCUCUCCUGGUUCAUGCAUAAAGCAUUUCUAAAUGAGCUACAACUUGACACUACAGUGCAGGCAUGUACGUGGCUCAUCCUGAGAUCUCCAUGGGGCUAGUGUUACUAGGUAAAUACUGUAGAUUGAUCAACUCUCUCAUAUCUGCUUCUGUCUUUCUAGGUAGAAUGAGCAGUCAACUCAACGUGGAGCAGAGCCUCCCUCCUUCAUCUCUACAAGCAAGAAAAUACCAACCUCACCUAUAUCUCCUGGGCAUCUUUCUAACUUACAUUGGUACAUACAGAACCCUGAAAAAAGCUCCAUGAUCAUUUUUCUAAUAUACUCAAAUGGGGAAUAAAAAGAGGAGAAAAAAACCGAAGGGCCACUAGUAGUAAGAAGGAUGGGCAGAGCUUUCUGCAUCUCAGCCCAGAGACUCAGGCACCUGCUUCCAUGUUGUGGAGGCACAGAGCUUUCUAGGCACCUAAGGCCUGAAUCGAGACAUGUGGCCGCAGCCACCAAACCCAGCAACACGGGAGAGAUGUUUGUAUGCUUUCCCUCACUUCUAACAUGGUGUUGAGAAGUGCACACUUGAUCAGUCGAAGUGGAUCAAACAUUUGAUUCCACUUUCAAAAAACUUGGAAAUGCUGAGGAAUAUUCAAUCUAGUAACCAUCUCUGUCCUAAAAUAAACCAUUCCUAACACGCUAACUCCUAA